rnacentral:rRNA from 1 species
AUUAAAUUUAUUAUAUUAAUUUUUUUUAAAUAAAAUAUUAUUGAGUUUUAGUAAUUAAUAAAGAAAAAAUUAUUUUUAUUAUAGUAAAUAGUAUAGUGAUAUAAUUAAUAAAUAUUAUGUUAAAUUUUAAAAAGAAUAAUUAAUUUUUAGUACCUUGUGUAUCAGGGUUAAUCAAAAUUAUAUUAAUAAAUUUAAUUUUCUCGAAUUUAAAAGAUUUAAAAAAUUAUAUUUUUUAUUGUUAUAUAAAUAUUAAAAAUAGUUUUUUAGUAAUGAAAUGUUAUUCGUUUUUAAAUAUAUCUAGUUUUUUAAGAAAUAAAUUUAAUUUAUUAAUUAAUUAAGUUUUAUUUAUAUUUAUAAAUAAAAUAAAUUAAUUAAAAAUAUUUUAAGGGAUAAGCUUUAAAGUAUAUUUAUAUAAAUUUUUAAAAUUUAAUUAAAUAAAAGUAGAAUUAAAAAUUUUUAUCAUUUAUAAUUUGUUAUAAUUAAUAUUUUAUAUUAAAUUAUUUUUAUGUAUUUUAUAUUUUUUAUUAAAAUUAUUAAUUUAAUUUUUAAAUUAAUGAAAUAAUGAUUAAAUUAGUAUAAUAUAAUGUAUUUUUAAAAUAAUAAAUUAGGUUAAAUUAAGGAAUUCGGCAAAAUCAAUUUUUCGCCUGUUUAUUAAAAACAUGUCUUUUUGUUUAAAAUUUAAAGUCUAACCUGCCCAAUGAUUAUUUUAAUGGCUGCGGUAUUUUGACCGUACAAAGGUAGCAUAAUCAUUAGUUUUUUAAUUGAAAACUUGUAUGAAUGGUUGAACGAGAAAAUUACUGUCUCAAUUUAAAUUUAUUAGAAUUUUAUUUUUAAGUUAAAAAGCUUAAAUUAUUAUAAAAGACGAGAAGACCCUAUAGAGUUUUAUAUUUAUAUAAAAUAAUUUUUAAGAAUUUAAUAAUUUUAUAUAUAUAUUUUAUUGGGGUGAUAAAUAAAUUUAAUUAACUUUAUUUAAUUAAUAUCAUUAAUUUAUGAAUAAUUGAUCCAAAUUUUUUGAUUAAAAGAUUAAAUUACCUUAGGGAUAACAGCGUAAUUUUUUUUGAGAGUUCUUAUCGAAAAAAAAGAUUGCGACCUCGAUGUUGGAUUAAAAUUAAUUUUUGGUGUAGAAGCUAAACUAUUAAGUCUGUUCGACUUUUAAUUUUUUACAUGAUCUGAGUUUAAAUCGGUGUGAGCCAGAUUGGUUUCUAUCUUUAUUUAAUUAAAAUAUUUUAGUACGAAAGGACCAAAUAUUUAUAAAAUUUAUUUUAUUUUGAAUAUUACU